rnacentral:rRNA from 1 species
UUGAACGCUGGCGGCAUGCCUUACACCUGCAAGUUGAACGGCAGCACGGGAGCAAUCCUGGUGGCGAGUGGCGAACGGGUGAGUAAUAUAUCGGAACGUGCCCCGUCGUGGGGGAUAACGCAGCGAAAGCUGUGCUAAUACCGCCUUCGAUUUUCGGAUGAAAGCGGGGGACCGCAAGGCCUCGCGCGAUUGGAGCGGCCGAUAUCCGAUUAGCUAGUUGGUGGGGUAAAGGCCCCCCCAGGCGACGAUCUGUAGCUGGUUUGAGAGGGCGGCCCGCCCCCCUGGAAAUGAGACCCGGUCCCGACUCCUUCGGGAGGCAGCCGUGGGGAAUUUUGGACAAUGGGCGCCAGCCUGAUCCCGCAAUGCCGCGUGCCGGAUGAAGGCCUUCGGGUUGUAAACUGCUUUUGUUCGGAACGAAACGGCGAGCUUUAAUAAAGUUUGCUAAUGACGGUACCGUAAGAAUAAGCCCCGGCUAACUACGUGCCCGCCGCCGCAG